rnacentral:rRNA from 1 species
AGUGAACGCUGGCGGUAGGCCUAACACAUGCAAGUCGAACGGCAGCACAGUAAGUGCUUGCUCUUACGGGUGGCGAGUGGCGGACGGGUGCGGAAUACAUCGGAAUCUACUUUUUCGUUGGGGAUAACGUAGGGAAACUUACGCUAAUACCGCAUACGACCUCCGGGUGAAAGCAGGGGAUCUUCGGACCUUGUGCGAUUGAAUGAGCCUAUGUCGGCUUCGCUAGUUGGCGGGGUAAAGGGCCACCAAGGCCACGAUCCGUAGCUGGUCUGACCGGAUGAUCAGCCACACGGGAACUGAGACACGGUCCAGACUCCUGCGGGAGGCAGCAGUGGAGAAUAUUGCGCAAGGGGGGAAAGCCGGAUACAGCAAAACCGGGUGAGGGAAGAAGGCGCUCGGGUUGUAAAGCCAUGUUGUUGGGAGAGAAGAACAGCAGGUUAAUACCCCGCGGUACUGACGGUACCCAAAGAAUAAGCACCGGCUAACUUCGUG